rnacentral:sRNA from 1 species
UUUUAUUUUUUAAGUGUAUAAUCUAAUUACCUAAAUUUCAACAAGUGACGUGUCUGUUUCUUUACUAGAUCUAGAGAUCUAUAAAAAAGUAUAAUGAUAAAUAAACUAAAAUGAAGUCCAGAUACAAAAAAGCCAAACGGAUAUUGUCCUUUUAUUACACUCACUUUGGACUGAAACCACCUUAUUUAGUUUUGGUGUGUGGAACAUUUUGUAAACAAGCUUUGAUGGACAAAAUAAAUAUAGCAGAGCAGCUUCCCAAGUAUUUAAGUGGAGAAGUGAAACUGCUUACUACAAAGUGUGCAUUGAAAGAAUGUGAAUU